rnacentral:rRNA from 1 species
UACGUAGGGUGCAAGCGUUGUCCGGAAUCACUGGGCGUAAAGGGUGCGUAGGCCGCACGGUAAGUCAGAUGUGAAAGCCCGGAGCUCAACUCCGGAACUGCAUCCGAUACUGCCGUGCUUGAGGACUGGAGAGGAGUCUGGAAUUCACAGUGGAGCAGUGAAAUGCGUAGAUAUUGUGAGGAACACUAGUGGCGAAGGCGAGACUCUGGACAGUUCCUGACGCUGAGGCACGAAGGCCAGGGGAGCAAACGGG